GACGAACGCUGGCGGCGUGCCUAAUACAUGCAAGUCGAACGAGAGCGACCGGUGCUUGCACUGGUCAAUCUAGUGGCGAACGGGUGAGUAACACGUGGGUAACCUGCCCAUCAGAGGGGGAUAACAUCCGGAAACGGAUGCUAAAACCGCAUAGGUCUUCGAACCGCAUGGUUUGAAGAGGAAAAGAGGCGCAAGCUUCUGCUGAUGGAUGGACCCGCGGUGCAUUAGCUAGUUGGUGAGGUAACGGCUCACCAAGGCCGUGAUGCAUAGCCGACCUGAGAGGGUGAUCGGCCACAUUGGGACUGAGACACGGCCCAAACUCCUACGGGAGGCAGCAGUAGGGAAUCUUCCGCAAUGGACGCAAGUCUGACGGAGCAACGCCGCGUGAGUGAAGAAGGUGUUCGGAUCGUAAAACCCUGUUGUUAGAGAAGAACAAGUGCUAGAGUAACUGUUAGCGCCUUGACGGUAUCUAACCAGAAAGCCACGGCUAACUACGUG
rnacentral:rRNA from 1 species